UGGAGAAGCAGGGUACGUGCA
rnacentral:miRNA from 5 species